UCUGAACAUCAGAUGUUCAAAGCGUUUAACAAAUCACAAACACAGCCACACUCUCGAUCAUACGAUUUACUUUUUAUCUUAGUAUGCGUUAUGUUUGCUUUCCGCCACUGCCAAGCGAAAAAACUCUUCUUCAUCCUUUUUAAAAUAGCCGACUCUUCUUGUUGGACCAGCUUGACGUUUCACAUUUUUCCCGUUGUUAUUUUUCCUUCUCGCAUCGGUCGGUUGGGAUUUACGGAGUUCCGCGGGAUCACCGGAACUAUCGCCGUUUGCUAAGCCAAAAGUGGUUCCUGUUCUCUAUGUGUAUGGAUGUGCCGUGUGCCAAGUUGUGAGAUUUAAAGUGCUUGCUGUCAAACAAAAGGUACGCGUGAAGAAGAUUUAGAAUCUGAGCGGAACUGGCAAGCAGGUUCCGGGUAGGUCAUCUGUCCACAUUAUUCUGGAGUACAGGAACGAACCAGUAAAAGUGUGGUAUUUUGAAGUGAAGUCAAAAUUGUUGUCUCAACUCAACUGUGCAAGUGAAAAAAUAAUCUUUUGAAGAAAAAUUGCUUUUUUGUUCUUAUUCCGCAGCCGGAGGGGUGCAUUUUUAAGCUGCAGGUUGCACGGAUGACCACUUCACGUACACUUGGGUAUGAUGGUCAAGUUGUUGACGCACAUUACCGGCCGGAAGCACCAGAACCGAUGAAAACACGUCCCGGAAGAUUACCGCUCUGACAAACAAGUGUCAAUUGCAUUUUGCGCCGGCGAACCUGUUCCACCUGCAUGGAUAACAAAAUCAGUCGCCAUGUUGCGCCAUGAAAUGCAACCCGAGCUACGAGUUGGUGCGGAGGUGUUGAACGACACCAAGGCCGCGAGCGUCAUUCUAAUGUGCGAAGCGAUCGUGGAUCGCCCCGGCCAGGUGUUGCCAAACUUGCACAAAGUGUGCGAUAACAACAGCAACAAGGUCAAGGACCUGCAAGAGGUGCUGUUCGAAAAGCACUUUGACGAGCGCUCCGUUUCCCCUUCAAUCGCGACGAAGGUAACUCCUGCCAGUCCCGAGUGAUGCUGAUUCGCCCAAGCAGCUGACCCUCCACGACCGGAUGAACAUCAAGUCUGAAUCCUCCGUACGGCAAAAGUCUUCUUGAUCCGCUCAGCUGUCGGGAUCACCGCUCGCGCAACCCCUCGUCCCGAGCGCGGAUCGCGACGACGUAAUUUCAACAGCCGAUCGCAAACGGGACCGGCCGGAUCUCUUCCAUCGGAAUCCGGACUUUGGAGAACGAAAUUAAACCGAGUUGCAGAUCACCAUUGACCGUUUCAAGGAGGGACCGAAGGUGGGUUUGGAGUACUUGGUGGAGUUGAAUGCACCAGAUUGAAGCGUGCCGAGCUAUGCCACUGCGUGCUGUGCGAAAACAAGAUACGAUCUUGAUGUAUUCACGAUCACGAGCUGCAUCCCCGGGGCAUAUUCUUGCAUGAACUCGGAGCCAAACAUUUCUACGAGUGAAUCCAAAGGGAAUCCACCCGGCGUUGAUAACCACGUUAGUCCGUUGACCACUACUCGCGACGACUGGACCUGAAUCGUAUCGAGCAAGUUCGUCUUACCGACGUCGAAGCCCUUUUGCCGUCGGCAGUCUCCUCACCUCCACCGAGUGAAUGCAAGUCCAGUUCACAGCCGAUCUAUCACCGCUUUCGCAGUCCUUCACCGAGGCGUCGCUCUAGAAGCCUAUUCAGAAUUCGCCGUCCUGGCCGGCAACGAUUAUCGCUGCGCUCCAACUAACGAUUGCGGCACAGCCGUCGGAUCACCGCUCAUGCGAACCUUCCCGAGCGCGGUAUGCAUUGUCACACCUUCAACAGCUACGAUCGCGAACCUGGCCGAACGGAUCCAUGCUGGGGUCCGGGUUUUGCCUAAAAGCAUGGUUACGACGAUUGACCCAGACGAACUACGAGCACAUGAAGUAGUGUGUGCGCGUGCGUGUGUGUUGCUGGUCCGUCGAUGCAAACUCCAGCGCCCUCAGGAGGUUCAAGUCGUCGCCGAUUCGGGGAACCGGCGACAAUACCGAAGCUAGGGUCCUCGAGGAAAUCACCGGCUCAAAGACACGAAAAUCGCAGCCAACUUGAUCGACUGCAAGCGCAAGCUGAUCCUGCGUGAUCUGAAACUGCCGCCAACAGGCUCGUGACUCGUGGUGUCGUAGGGAUGACCAAACAACUGAGAAACAUUGUAAAAGGUUGAGUAACUUUUUAUAAAAUUAAAAGAAAAUUGAUGUAUUAAUUUAUAACGAAUAAAAAAAGGUGCUGUGUGUUUUCGAUAACUUAUUUUCUCUCUUAGGAGAAAUAUUUAUCGAAACAGCCAAUUUGUUCUGUAAAAUCAAAAAAUAAACUAAUUCGAUCGUGAUUUUAUGUUAAUUUUGAUUGAUUUAGUUUGAAUUUUGGUUUAACGGCAACAGAAAUGGUCUGUUUUGAUAAAUAUUCUCUGGUGAUAUUUGGUUUGCGUCCUGGGGUAUCGAAUAAAUCCACCUGGUGGCAAAAAGCGGAACUAAUCUGGAAGCUGCAACGAACAGUGGCGCCGCCAGUGGUGAAUAGGGGAAACAUCAAAAAAUUGCGUGCGAUGGCACGCACACAUUGAAACGAGUUGUCAAAUUGCCAAAAAGCAUUUUGAACAUCGGAUGGUCAACGCGCUUUGAACAUCGAAUGCGCAUGAUCGUUUAUGACCAUCCAAUGUUCAAGAAUUUGGUGCCAAUGGUCAGAAAAUUCGCAUUGGC